UAAGUGCAUGUAUACAACAGCCACAUUGUC
rnacentral:piRNA from 1 species